UACGUAGGCAGCAAGCGUUGUUCGGAGUUACUGGGCGUAAAGGGUGUGUAGGCGGUUCUUUAAGUUUGCUGUGAAAUCUCCCGGCUUAACCGGGAGGGUGCGGUGAAUACUGAGGGACUAGAGUACGGGAGAGGAAAGUGGAAUUCCUGGUGUAGCGGUGAAAUGCGUAGAUAUCAGGAGGAACACCGGUGGUGUAGACGGCUUUCUGGACCGUAACUGACGCUGAGACACGAAAGCGUGGGGAGCAAACGGG
rnacentral:rRNA from 1 species